GAUGAACGCUGGCGGCGUGCCUAACACAUGCAAGUCGAGCGAUUCUCUUCGGAGAAGAGCGGCGGACGGGUGAGUAACGCGUGGGUAACCUGCCCUGUACACACGGAUAACAUACCGAAGGGUAUGCUAAUACGAGAUAAUAUGCUUUUAUCGCAUGGUAGAAGUAUCAAAGCUUUUGCGGUACAGGAUGGACCCGCGUCGGAUUAGCUAGUUGGUAAGGUAACGGCUUACCAAGGCGACGAUCAGUAGCCGACCUGAGAGGGUGAUCGGCCACAUUGGAACUGAGACGCGGUCCAAACUCCUACGGGAGGCAGCAGUGGGGAAUAUUGCACAAUGGGCGAAAGCCUGAUGCAGCAACGCCGCGUGAGCGAUGAAGGCCUUCGGGUCGUAAAGCUCUGUCCUCAAGGAAGAUAAUGACGGUACUUGAGGAGGAAGCCCCGGCUAACUACGUGCCAGCAGCCGCCGUAACAC
rnacentral:rRNA from 1 species